rnacentral:rRNA from 1 species
CAGCCGCCGCGGUAACACCAGCCCCUCGAGUGGUGGGGACUAUUAUUUGGCCUAAAGCGUCCGUAGCUGGCUGUAUCCGUCUCCCGGUAAAUCCGGCGUCCUAAGCGUCGGUUCUCGGGUGAUACCAUACAGCUAGAGGGUGGGAUAGGUGAGCGGUAUUUCUGGGGUAGGGGCGAAAUCCUUUGAUCCCAGGAGGACCACCAGUGGCGAAGGCUGCUCACUAGAACACGCCUGACGGUCAGGGACGAAAGCUGGGGCAGCGAACCGGAUUAGAUACCCGGGUAGUCCCAGCUGUAAACGAUGCUAGCUAGGUGUUGGGUCGGCCACGCGCCGCCCCAGUGCCGCAGGGAAGCCGUUAAGCUAGCCGCCUGGGGAGUACGGUCGCAAGGCUGAAACUUAAAGGAAUUGGCGGGGGAGCAC